CUGUGGAUGAUGAGGAGUUAUUCUUUUCCCUUAGGAGAAUGGUCAGUUGAAAGGAUGUUGUGCUGCCUUCCAAACACUGUCCACGGUAACUCCAAAUGAAACGCUCAGCGGGUGAGAAGACCACGGCCAUCUUUAUCAACAGUGCGAACCCGGGCUGCAGCGUGAGCUAGAGGAGAGGGAGCCACAGCCUCACAUGGGGUUGUUGCAGAUGUGGCCUGGACGGCAGGUGCUGACGGCGCUGCACUAACAGCUGUAUGCUUCUGCGAGCGGACUUCAAAACAUUCACGGGAAAAUAGAAUCUAAAGCAGAGUGGCGGCCCUUUAGAAGUCUGGGCUGAUCAAGCACAUCGUCAUGAAGGAUACCCCAAAGCUGAUUUGGGAACUGAAGUUCACUUGAAGCUCAGUUCAACGUUUCAAACCCUCGGCUCUCUAAUAACAUCUGAGAACAUCACAGUGCACCAAAGCUGGAGGUAACCCAGUGCACUCUCACCUAAAAUCCUCAUAAUGUGUGAAGCUCUAGUCAACACUCAUUGUACAAUUUGUUGUUGGAAACUUCAAGUUCAACUUGGUCUGGCUGCCUGUAACACACAUCUUGAGAAGGUAGGUAGUGCCAGUCCGUUCUCCUGCAAACCACACUCA